AUGUUCUGCAAAAAUGACCGCAGCUGCUCCACUGACAUCGAAGGGUUUUCUAAAAACUUUGAAGGAUUCUGAUAUGAAAGAAUAAUGCCCACAUUUUAGAGGUAACAUCUACUAAGCUCCAGGUUUAUACGGCCUGAUCUGCCUCCAAGGUAUAAGUAAGAACAGCCUUGCUACUUUAAGCUGCUUUUCUCAUCACGGUGUAUUCUUAGAGGUUUCAGAAUCGCUCUACGGCCCCCGAAACAUACGUCUGGGCUUUCCGUCAGGUGGAAAUCAAUGGCUGCAACCUCGCACCAGUGAAUCGAGGUUAAUUGUAAUAUCCAUACCGCUAGGAGUAGAAAAGCACGGAGAAAACGAACCAGUGCCUACUCAGAGGUAAGCUACCCUUAUUUCUAUCAAGUUUACCUCUCGAUAGACGCAUAGAGAAUUACUGAUUAAGUUCAACUAGAAAAUGAUGGGGUGGGCAACCAUGUGCCCGUGCUGACAGUCCAGAUGCAGUCUUCGAAGCUGUGCACGCUUUACUUGGGAGUAGAUUCGCUAAAAAGAAAUGUUUGCUUCUAAGGGAUCGUGUUAGGAGAACGAAGGUAAUCCUAAAUUCCAUCUCGCGGAGAAACACGUAGAACGGUAUCCACGCUUAGGAAAACAUCGAGCUAUAGAUACAGACAGGAAGAAGGUGUCUUAUGCCCGGCAAGACGGUUUCCAGAUAGAAGGGAACUGCUUACGUUUCGGAACCUUGUCUCUGCGCGUCCUGCCCUCAGAAGAUAAACAGUUUUCCCUAGCGGGGCAGUAUUUCUUCGGCUGGGGUUGGGGAACAGACCAGGGCUGCCUCUUAACGGCAGCGACUUGAACAAGAGUACAAGAGAGCGAGAACUUGGAUGUCCUGAUCGAAAGGACUGAUGUCGCAGUUGGGCGAAAGAUNUUUCAGGCCCAUUCCUGACUGUUUAUCCUGCGAUUCACUAUUUAGCUUUAGAAAGAUACAUUAACAUUUAAACUGGGAACGGUAGGGCUAGGGGCAUUCUUUGCCUGCAACUCAGAAGUGCUGUAAAUAAAUCAUAGGGGCUGUAAAUGUUUUCUACA
rnacentral:lncRNA from 1 species